CCCAGUAUUCCCCAGUGUCUCCCAGUAAUGCCCAGUAACUCCCAGUAACACCCAGUAACUCUCCCAGUAACUCCCAGUAUCACCCCAGUAAUGCCCAGUAUAGCCCCAGUAACUCAGUGCCACCCAGUAUCACCCCAGUGCCCCCCCAGGAGCUCCCCCUGCCCCUCAAGUACUCCCUUGAUACCUCCCAGUAUUCCCCAGUAACUCCCAGUGCCACCCAGUAUGACCCCAGUGCCUCUCAGGAGCUCCCCCUGCCCCUCAAGUACUCCCUUGGUACCUCCCAGUACCACUCCAGUAUUCCCCAGUGCCUCCCAGUAACUCCCAGUAUCACCCCAGUAACCCCCAGUAGCUCCCAGUAACACCCAGUAUAGCCCCAGUAACUCCCAGUGCCACCCAGUAUCACCCCAGUGCCCCCCCAGGAGCUCCCAGUGCCUC
rnacentral:lncRNA from 1 species